UAAAUUUAAAAUUUAAAAUCUAAAAUGUAAAAUAAAUUAAAUCUGAUAAAUCAAUUAAAUCUGAUAAAUCGAUAAAUUGAUAAAUCAAUUAAAUAAAUCCCAGUCAGCUGAAAUAGAAAAAAACCUUUAUUAGACAAUGGAAAUGUGGCCUAACCUUAUCAUAUGAAUAAUUAAUAUUCUGGAUUGCUUACCAGCUGGAAGUGUAGAAGUCUCAUAUCUUCCAGCUCUGACAUCCCUUCCCGCCACAUAAUAACAUCAGGAGACUGGAAAUGGAGACACAUGGUCAAGAUUUACAAAAACCAAGAUCACACAAAGAAAUUAAAUCAAUGUUACUUGAACAAGAUUCUACUCACAGUCCAUGGACAAAAUACGAUUCUGAGGACCCUUGAGGCCCUGCAGAAAAGGACUCUUGCUGCUCCAUAAUUUGGUUUCCUGCUUCACAUCAUAGAUGAUCCGCGAUAUCAUAAAGUAGCCACUGGAGGCCUACGACCUGUACCGGAGCCAGCUAACAAGUGAGGAGGAAAUGAUCUCAAAAUCCUAACGACCUUGGGAGGCUUGGGGAUACCAAAUAGAACGACAACCUCAGCAAUCGUUUGCUGUUAUAAAUUUCAAAUGACUAAAAUAUCUAGUGUGUAAAAUUCCACCUAAUUUUCUAACCAUGUUCUAGCAACUUCCUAACUUAUUAAAUCAAAUUUUUAUUGUAAAUUCUAAAUUAAUUAAUAUGAAAAUCAUGUAUAUUUCUAUAUUGGCAACAACCCUUGUUGACAGAUGAUUCUCAUUGGAUACAGAACUGUCAUCCAUAUCGAUUCAGUUGCUAGAUCGAUUAAAGUCCUUGCCAUCCGCAAAAACUUAUGUUUGAGACAAACCUAAAAACGUCGUUGUACUAAAAAUGUGCAAUGUCACAAUACCCCUCUCCCUGCUGUAGCGUUUUACCAAGGGUAAAACGCUCGCUGUCCUCAGCGACUAACUAACUGUGUCACAAAAGUAAGGAAAAAAAAAACGAACACACCUCGACCAUACUGAGUAUGGGAGAACACACAAAAGAAAACCCAGUGAUUGCCGCAGGUAUCGAGAUAAUCUCCAAAAAAUCAAUAAACCAAAAAAAAGACACAAAACCAAAUAACCAAAUGUCCAAAAGUGUAUCUCGAACCCACGCAACACUACAAAAUAAAAAAACAGUGUGUGGUUCCCGAACCAUCAAAAAAUAACCCACACUACAAAACCAACCAAACAGAAAACAUUCCUUUGGUUUUACCAACACAACUUUUCAGUUGCGUUGGAAAAACCAAAACCAACAGCCAGGACCGAUGUUCAGCACACCCAAACAUUCUCCGCUAGACCGGGCAAAAUAAAAAUCCAAAAUGAUUCCUACUUCCAAAUUUACUAUCAUAAACUUGAGAAGCUCAUAAUUUAAUUCAAAAUAAAAUUCCAAUCCGAAAAUAUAAAUCCUUAGUCCAAAAUAACCGUGACAGUUUACCAACAAAAUGAACACCAUCUCCGAAAUCCAUCAACACACGGUUGAAUUGGCAACAUUGUGCUGUUCCAAUUCUUCCAUAAACGAAACAAAAAACCACCACAAACUGUCACGCACCUUCGAGUUGGUGAGAUAAAAGACUCCCACCCAACUCUCCGGAUCACAAAAUCCUACACAACUCUGAGGUUGCAACAUGCCCGAGACCUCCACCGUUUGGUUGAGACUCACCAAAAAAUAUGUAUCGCACGCCAGGCAUGAUUGGCGGCGAUACCCCAAAACCCGUGCGCCACCCCACCGCCUCCAUGGCAUGGGAAAAGCAGCACGGAACACAAAAUGUACCCACCAGCGAGUACCCGAUCGACACCACAAAAGGCAAGAACCCGGUACGGAGCGCAUCCAAAAGGGGAUGCAAGAAGUAGGCAGUGCGACCGCGCCCUGCCAUACCUCACCACUCCUGGGUGUGGACCUCAUGUCGACCCAAAAUCGCGCCAACACGACGCUCGGGUGUGGUAAGCACCCGCAAAAACUCCAUCCGAAAAACAGGUCGUAUCAAGGAUCGCUCAAACGUAAAAUGAACCAGAUUGUGUCGCCCCUUUCAUACUUCACGCAUUUCAGAGAACUGUUCCAGGAACCCUUUCAUUCCUCACGCAAAACAAAAUAGUAGUGAAAACAGACUUUGCUGUUCACCACGUUCCAUACAUAAAGUCGUGAUUGAAUAUUUUUACCACAAUAUUCAACACUUCAAACGAAACAACCAAAGAGUGACACGAUAUGGCGUAAGCGAGGGCGUUAACUCUGGCGGCAAGGUGAAAGGAAAAGAAAACCCGGACCUUGCGUCCAAAGAAAACCUCCACCUCAAACUUACCCAAAAAAACAAUCUCUAAAUCCUUGAAUACGCCACAAAACCAAAUCCAAGCUUUCACAAAAAACAGACGCCCUUAAAUGAAUCCACACGUUGCGAUACGUUUAAGUUUAAAACUGGCGCUAAAAACACGUCGUAACCCAAAAUAAAUCCAAUCAUAAAACCGAAAUACCAACAUUGCAAAACGAGCGUUUAUUUAACCGCUCAAGUUACGACUUAACUUGGAUCAAAAAACACGCAUCCGAACGUACCCCUCGUUGAACUUAACUUGUCUGUGGUCUGUGCCUUUAAAAAACUAAAUGUCAACAAAAUAUUUAUCGUUACCUACAAAAUUACUAAUAUCUGCCGUUUUUAUUGCUACAAAUUAAUAAAACAACACUUAAUUCAACUACAAAAUCAUGGAAAACUAACAUGAGUGUGAUAAACGUUCGAUAAUCUAAAGGAAUGACUAAAAUUUAUUCUGAAAUGCUAACUGGAAUGCAAAUAAUUCUACUACUAACAGCAGAUCACUAGAAACUGUACUAAAUCUUAAGAAAUAUACACCACAAAGGCUACUUGGCACCUAGCAACAGCUACAACUGGACCACAGACUACAGGAAAUGUCUACAAAAGAAAACCAAAAUAUGAACAUCAGAGGAACAUGGGCACUGAUAAUGUGUUGAAAAGCAUAACUCCUAACGGAAACCUUCCACUUACAUGGAGAACCAACAUAAUCAUUUGCCGGAGUCCAACAACAUUGCAGCUGCCGGACACUCAAAAACUCAGACCGUUCCUGCGACUUCCAACCAUUACCGGUGUCGUCCCGGACUGAAUUCACCUGUAUAAGUUCAACGGGCACAAAAUUGAAAUUGCCACUGUAUAAUAAGUUUAACUCAAAAGAAACUCAAAUAUGAUGGCACCGACUUACAACUUGAAGUGAUACUGUUGUGUUAUAAUUUAUAAUAAACAAUAUUGAAUUUAAUUACUGUGUAUUUACUAAAUUUCUACUUUUCCAGCUCUGUGUAAGUCUCACUAUAUAACCUUAAAUGAACAAGCAAACAAAUGAGUUAAUUGUUGUGUACCUCCUAUGAACUCAAAGAAAAAUAACCAAAUACAACUAAAUGAACAUCAACGGUAUGACCAAAAUUUCAAAUUUGUACAUUUUCCAAGUUGCAGUCUAAACAAAGUUCAAAAUACUCAAAUACUGCCAAAUGUAUGUUCCAAAAUUUACAAAACCAAUUUGCUUUUUAAACAAAAUAGCACACAAAUUUUUAAAUUUUAUAGCCAAAUGUUUUGUCACAAGACACAACUUUUGAGUUUAAACUUUACACUUAUUAUACAUCCAAAAUAUUCCGAAAUUACAUGGCAAUUUCUACACAAACUUAAAAACCCCCAUGAACUUCCCCUUAACAAAAUCAUAAAAGUCAAUUACAGUACUUACAAAACUUUGCCCAAAAUAUUUGAACACAAGUAGCCAAAUUACUCAAAAAAUAUUCACAAAAUGCUUAAAUUCACGAAAGAUAUUCAAAAUAACUUUGGCCUAAGCCCUAAAAUACUAUCUUUCAAACAUAAAAAGUUACAAAACCUUACACAAAGUUUGACACUUUAAAACCUGGCUACUUCCUGUAAAAAAUGUCAGCACCAUUUGUACCAACUGAAAAUCUAAGCACUUAUCUCUCAAAUUUCACAAUAAUAUCUUAAUAAAGUGCAGCAAAACGGGCAAAAAACAUUGUGAAGCAGCUAAAGCUCACCUCAAUUUACAACAGUGUGUGCCUAAGGCAAAACACCGCUCAAAAUGGAUCACUGAAACGUAAGUACUACAAAACUUUCAUUAUCACUAUGUAUGGCACUGAAAAAAUGAAUUCUUGAGGAAAAUACCACCCUUAAAUACAAAACAAAACGAAAAAUGAGUUGGGCGCCAUUGAAACGGGGCCUUCCCACACCCGGCUCGGGAAAACUGGUGGGAAAGCCUCGAUCAUCAAAAUAAAUCUAAACUUAAUAAACCUUGCAGACUUGCUCUGCCAAAAACUUAAUAAAGAAACGAAACAAGGUGCUACUGGUGAUUCUCCUCAAGGAUUCAGGUUCUAAAUGGAAAUGGAAUAAAACGGUUAGUUGUGACACACAGUUUUAUUUUCCUAAAUUAACACAAUGCAAAAUACAGCUUGUAAAUCAGCAAUAAAAGCUUAAGCUUAGCACCUUAACUAAA
rnacentral:lncRNA from 1 species